AGAUCCUCUUGCUUUGUGGUCCCCCAGGACUUGGGAAGACAACACUUGCACAUGUCGCUGCUAAGCAUUGUGGAUACCGUGUGGUGGAGAUAAAUGCUAGUGAUGAUCGGUCAUCUUCAACAAUUGAAGCUAAAAUCCUUGAUGUGGUCCAGAUGAACUCUGUCAUGGCAGAUUCGAAGCCCAAUUGUUUGGUAAUUGAUGAAAUAGAUGGAGCUCUUGGUGAUGGCAAGGGUGCUGUGGAGGUUAUUCUAAAAAUGGUUUCUACUGAAAGGAAAGCUGAUAAUAAGAAGGGAAAUGUUGCUAAAGUAGAUGAGUUGGGACAGAUAUCCUCAAAAAAGGGGCAUUAAAUUGCAUCAUUGUCAAG